rnacentral:tRNA from 2 species
CGGGGCGUGGCGCAGCCUGGGAGCGCACUUGAAUGGGGUUCAAGUGGUCGCCGGUUCAAAUCCGGCCGCCCCGA